rnacentral:rRNA from 1 species
UACAGAGGUCUCAAGCGUUGUUCGGAUUCAUUGGGCGUAAAGGGUGCGUAGGCGGCGCGGUAAGUCGGGUGUGAAAUCUCGGAGCUUAACUCCGAAACUGCAUUCGAUACUGCCGUGCUUGAGGACUGGAGAGGAGACUGGAAUUUACGGUGUAGCGGUGAAAUGCGUAGAUAUCGUAAGGAAGACCAGUGGCGAAGGCGGAUCUCUGGACAGCUCCUGACGCUGAGGCGCGAAGGCUAGGGGAGCAAACGGG